CCCUUAGAUGUCCUGGGCCGCACGCGCGCUACACUGAGUGUCUGAGAUACGAGUCUGCCUGGUCCGGCAAGGUCUAGGUAAUCGCUAAAAGACACAUCAUGCUUGGGAUAGAUUUUUGCAAAUAUUAAUCUUGAACGAGGAAUUCCUAGUAAGCGCAAGUCAACAGCUUGCGUUGAUUACGUCCCUGCCCUUUGUACACACCGCCCGUCGCUACUACUGAUUGGAUGUUUAAGCGAGGUUCUCGAACUGCUAGCGACUUAGCUUCGGUGAGGUCGCAGUGUGGGAAGUGAACCUAGCUUUGGUGUCUAGAGGAAGUAAAAGUCGUAACA
rnacentral:rRNA from 1 species